GCUUUCUGAUUCUUGCUAUCAGUUUUUUUUCAAUUUUUGUUUCUUAUUUUUUAAAUUUUCAAAUAUUAAUUUUUAUCGAAAACGGUUAGAUUUGGAUGGAAAAGCUAAUGAUAGGAUCAAUCCAAACAGAAAACAUGACGUUUAGGACGAAGUUUAACAACAAAAUAGAUUUAGGAUGAAAACAAAAAAGUAAUCAAAGGUUGAAGACUAAAAAUGACUUUUCCAAAAAAAAAAAAAGAUAGAAGUUUAACCAGGAGAUGACUUAAUUUAAGUAAGAUCUGUAAAAAGGUUUCUCAAUAUGAGUUAUUUUUCUUGUUAAUCACUCAGCCAAUGCUGCCUUGUAACGAAAUAAUUUCAUGUGACUUUAACACCCCUAUGUUAUUUUAUUUUAUUUUAUUUUUUGUUAAAUUAUGUUAUUGGUUUGAAAUGACCCAAAAGGACACACGAGAGAAAGAGGUGAAGAACUGAUCUGAUCAUUCUCUUGCAAUUCUUCUCUUCGCCUGCAAUUCCCCACAUUCUUUCUCCUCCUUUGGUCCACCUUUGCCAAAAACGAAAGGCGAGGCCCGACAUUAUAUAGACCCCACUGAUAUGUACUAUUGGAAAUUGAUAUUCAUAUGUAUAUGCAUGUAUUAUAGAAAUAACUUUUUCAGCAUCUCUGCUCUAUUUUAUUUCAGUUUUCAUUUCAUUUUAUUUUAUUUUAUUGCCCUAACUCUCUAUCAGUUAGUUAGUUUGUUUCAACUAAAUUUUAAAUGCUAAAAAUUAAGUGCUGAAUUUUUAAGUGAUGAAUGAAAUAAGUGCUUAUUCAAUUAAGCAAAUUUUGUUUGGUUGGAUAAAUGUUGAAAAUUUUGUAUCAUUCUUUACCAAAAAAAAAGAGAAAAUUUUGUAUCAUUUGAAAUCCUAAUUACGUAAUGCCACAAACUUUCCUUCUUUGAACUUUUGCCCCAAUAUUUUCUAUAUUUUUUUGAAAUGAAAAAAAAUUAGAUGGAGAAGCUGAAGGGCAGUGGUGGCCCCAAUUCCUGCCACCACCACCCUGAUCGAGGUCACCAGUGACGUUAGAGGUCACCGGCGACCUCGUCUCUUCGAAAUUGGAGAUAGAGAGAGAGAGAGAGGAGAGAAUUGGAACAGUGGUGGCUCGGAUCUCGGCCACCACAGGGACAGACAAGAGUCGCCAACAACCUUGUCCAUCACGGUGGUGGUCGAGAUCGGAGCCACCAACAUCCCUUCCCAAAAUCGUCCCUUCUCCUCCUCCUCUCUCUCCACCAAAUUGUAAUUACAAAAACAAUUGAGGGGUACUACUGCAAUUUUUGGAAAAUUGUCCCUUGGCCGAGUAAAUCAGCUGAAAAAAUAAGUAGGUUUUUUCUACUUAGUAAUUAAGUACUUUUUUGACUUAAAUCUAUUAAGUUAAGCUAACUUUUUUAUAUUUAUAAAAAAUGUUGAAUUCUUUUAAUUAGUUAUUUAUGAUUUCACUUUUAUUAUAUUGGCAUUAGACCUUCUUUAUAAUCUAAAAAAUAUGUUGAAUUCUAUUAAGUGCUGAAAAUUACUUUCAGUACUUAAUUAGUGUUAUCAAACACACCCUUAAUGUGCAACCUUUCAAAAAUCAUAAUUUUAUUGGAUAUUUUUGUCCAUUUGUUUUUUGAAUAUUGUUUGCACCGUUUAUUAUAAUCACUACUUAGUUUUAAGUUUCAUCAAAUGUACCACCAAACGAAAGCAUUAGCGACUUAUAUGUUUCACUCAACAUGUUUUACUCUAUAUGGCCAGUACUUUUCAUGUUUAGUACUUAAUUUUUAGUUGGUCAAAUAUCGAUCACUAACAUAAAGCAUAAAUAACUGCUAACAAACAUGUCUUAAGUUCUUAAUGCAAAGUUGCAAGACGUGCGAGAUAUAAAGGUCUGAAACAGUAAUUAAUAUAAGGUCGAACUGCCAAUGGAUGUGAGGUUGUUGAGCAAGGACUGGUCAUUUGACAAGGCUUUUGCAUGGAAAUCAAUACCUAAAGAUGCAUUCCUUGUCAAGCCUUGAUGCAACAUCGGAGGAAGACAAGGUAUAUAAGGCACGAACCUGCUAUCUCCUGUAACCUUUAAUAAAUUGACUGAUACGCAAGCAGAGAAGAUGCAGGUAUGGUUUUCCACCACUUUGGUUACAUGUUAUGCAUUAUGAUUGCAAUAUUAUGUACAGAAGUAGCUAUUCUGAUGGAUGGAUGUAUGUGUAAUUGUAUGUAUACAUUGUCUGUAUAAGGCAGUGAUAAAGGUGUGCCAAUAGAGUACGAAUUCGACAAAAAUGAUCAAGUCAACUACAGAAUGACGCAAGAUAAUAAUGGUCAAACAUUUUUAUUAGCCUCAUACCUUGCACAUAUAUCUGCAACGGUCAUCUCAACAAUAGAAUAGAAACCUUCAGAAAUUUUAGUAGACCUUGUAGUCAUCUCAAAUUUUCAUGCGUGAGGGAGACGGUUGAAUGACUACGAAAAAUUAAAUUGUUAUCUAAAAAGAUUAAGCUGUUAGAGUAAAUGUGUAUGGUCAUCCCAAAUUGUCACUAACUUGAGCAAAUAAUACAAUUGACCGUACUCAUCGAAGGAAUAGCCUGCAAUAAUGUAUUUCACAACUUUAAACCACCCAACACCCUAGAAAUUUACAUUCUUAAUGAGAUUGACUCUUUAAAUAACCAGCAACCCCGAACGAAAUUUUCAUUUGUAUUAACUACAUCUUGAUUUCUUGUUUCUUGAUGAUUGAUAUAUGCUUAUAUGCAUUUUAUCCUAUUACGAUUUCCUAUUACAUUUUAAAUUCGUACAUAAUGUACGGCCCUUCAAUAUAAGUAUGCAGUUACAUGACUUAUGAAAUACUCGAUUUAUUUGAUUUUUACGAUUGCUUCUUUAUAAUCAUUCUAUAAUUAAGGUGUUUGAUAUAUUCGAUAUAUUUGAUUUUAUAGAAAGACUUUAAUUUAAAAACAAAUAUUUGCCUUGAAAAAUAAUGUCGACACGAGAUCGAAUUCUAUUUUCGCCAUCAUUCUAUUUAAUAAAAUAUAACCACCAAUGGUUUUCCAAGCUGGAGAGGUAAGAAGAUGUCACUCUCAAGUGUAAGGUCAGAGUAUUUUCAUUUUUUUUAGAAUUUUAGGAUUUUAGGUUUUUGUGGUUGAAAGUGGAGUUCGUGCUCUAUAAUCAACACAACUGUUUUUUCCUGAUAUGCGAGAUUCAGAUCAUAAUACUCAUGCUUGAAGAGAUAUAACCGCUGUUGUUUGAUGAUCCUUCUGCAAGCCAUGAUAAGAGAAAAAGAGGCUAUAGGAGAGCGGAAAACCCUUAAUUCAUAGGGUGACAAUGUGGAAUCUCAACGAGCAUCUUGUUUGCUUAUAGAAGAAGAUUACAUAAAAAAAAAUCACUUAUUCAACCAUGACCCAAAAAUCAAUAUAUGCACAUUUUUAAGAUAUGAAUAUACCGCAUUUGCUUUGUUUAAAAUGGCCAAUUUUAUUUCCUGAUGUGAUGGAACCUUCCUAUCUUUUACCAAUCACUUUUAACUAUGUGUGGUUAUUGUCAUUAAAUUUUUAGGGAAAAAGCUUAUAAAAUUAAGUUUGGAAUGUAAUACUAUAUAAGGAAAUCUUUUUUUUUCGCUGAAUAUAUAAGGAAAUCUAAUAAUUGUAAAGAAACAGGACUGAACCCUGGGGCCUAAGAUUUCUUCAAUAAGAAGAAGGGGUUAAUAUAGCAGAAGACGCUCUCACCCGGUAACCUAAAGGUUUCUGGUUCAGCUUUCGUGGUGAUAUUACUUGUGCCCAUUGUUAGCACCCCGUUUUGGUCCACUGCUCCAGGGGAUAAAAUUGUCAUUUCUAUCAUCCAUUGAGGGGAAGUAUUUUUUGGCUAAUCGCUCAAACAUUCGCAGCUUUUUAAAUUGGGCAAUUUCUUUAAGUUAAUUUCAAAUUUUACAUAUUUCAGAAAAUACUCUACGGGACGUUCUCGGGUUUCACGUGCAUCAAUUUUCGUCUUUCAAAAUUCAGAAUUAUAUUGGGGAUCAAAAAAUAUUUUUCUGCAUAAUAUUGAUCGUUGAAUUUUUCUGAAUGCAAUGGUGGUUCCCAAUUAUUUUUGGAAUAACCAAUUGAAAAGACAAGAAUUUCAAGCUCUACGUGCUUCAAUUUCGACUUUCUUCAAAAUUCGGAACGAUACUCGAGAUUGAAAAGUAUUUUUCUGCGUAAUGUCGAUCCUCGAAUUUUUUUGAACACAACGGUGGUCCUAGAAUAUUUUUCGGAUAUCCGAUUAAAAGAUAGAAUAUAAUCGAGCAAUUAUGACCGAUGCCUGUCAGAAGUUCGAUAUCGAUUUUUAUCGAGAUUCGAUUCUCAUCAAUGCAAAUUGGAAUUCUCAUGAAGCCGACUAUUUUUCAAAUUUCCCAAUUUCAAAGUUUUCAUUCCGAAAUUGUCGACGAAUCCUGAGAAAUUGGAUUUUAAUUCGAAGAUGCGCGUACGAGUAAAUUUAAAAAAACAAGAAAAAAAAAGAAAAAAGAGAUUGAACAGAUGGCAGAGGGGUCGGCCCAAAUGCAAGUUGGCCGACCCCAGGAUCCGUUGACCUUCAUUUCUUUUUCUUUCCUUUCCUUCUUCUUCUUCCUGUAGGUACCUGCAACUGAGGCUCACGAUCCACCACCAACAACUCCUCUUCUUCUUCUUCAUCCUCUCUGCAAGCCCAGAGCUGACAACCUGCUGUGCCCAUCCCGAGCUGACCCUGACACUUCCAUCAACUCCUCUUCAGCACACGGCAACGUCACCUUCACUCUCCAUCAACACGUUUUCAGCUUUUUUGGCUCUCUUCAGGUCAGAACAGAGGAGAAAGGAGAAAACAUUCAACUCAACCCCACCUUCUCCUCUCUCGAUCAUUUCGAGGUACCGACUUGACAGGUCUUCUGCCGCAUCAGAGAGACACACGGAAAAAGGACGGAUUCGGCUGGCUGGGGGCAGCUUCUUCUUCUUCCUGGGUUUCUUUGGUCCCGAGCUUGCUUCCUAGGCAGCUCCCAGUCCAUCGCUGAAGUUGCUCUACUACUGGUCACUCCUUCCCCGACACCCUCGCACUGCUUUGCUGCAGCUCCUCCUCAGUUGCUGCUGCUUAUUGCGUGUUCUUCCUCAACCGAAAGCUGCAGCCUCGUCCAUAUCUUGAUUGCCGGUCCCCGCUGUUCUGCCACAAUUGUUGCUGUUCGGGUCCCCUCCAAGCAUCCAGCAAUUACGAGCUCGAGUUCCAGUCGUCCCUUAACCCCAUGGCAGCUUAGCUUUAAGCCCACACUUACUAGACCUUCUCCGACUAACAGCUGCAACCAGCUCGUUCGUUGUGUCCUUCCGCAGCUCUGGUGAGCUUAUUUGAUCCCAAUUGCGGCUGGUUUUGUGUAGCUAUGAUAUGCAAUCAUUUCCUGAUUGUUUCGAGUUUGUUUGGCAUGAUUCCGUCGACUUUAGUUCGAGUCUAAGGCAUGGGCUGAAUGGGUCUAUGCUUUAUCGAUCAAGUUGAACUCCUUUGGCAUGUUCUAGAUGAUUUAAUGAUGAGAUUAUGGUAUGGACUGAAUUGCUUGAGGGUUUGAUGUUCGAUAUGUUCACAUUCGACAUGAUAUUAAAGACUAUACGCUAAA